rnacentral:rRNA from 1 species
AAACUUGGGCUAAUACCGCAUGAGCCCUGAGGGGGAAAGCGGGGGAUCUUCGGACCUCGCGCUAAGGGAAGAGCCUACGUCUGAUUAGCUAGUUGGUAGGGUAAAGGCCUACCAAGGCGACGAUCAGUAGCUGGUCUGAGAGGACGACCAGCCACACUGGGACUGAGACACGGCCCAGACUCCUACGGGAGGCAGCAGUGGGGAAUUUUUCGCAAUGGGGGCAACCCUGACGAAGCAAUGCCGCGUGGAUGAAGAAGGCCUUCGGGUUGUAAAGUCCUUUCGUGGGGGACGAAAAGGUGGUUCCUAAUACGAGCUGCUGUUGACGUGAACCCAAGAAGAAGCACCGGCUAACUCCGUGCCAGCAGCCGCGGUAAUACGGGGGGUGCAAGCGUUAAUCGGAAUCACUGGGCGUAAAGGGUGCGUAGGCGGUACGUUAGGUCUGUCGUGAAAUCCCCGGGCUCAACCUGGGAAUGGCGGUAGAAACCGGCGCACUAGAGUAUGGGAGAGGGUGGUGGAAUUCCAGGUGUAGCGGUGAAAUGCGUAGAGAUCUGGAGGAACAUCAGUGGCGAAGGCGGCCACCUGGCCCAAUACUGACGCUGAGGCACGAAAGCGUGGGGAGCAAACAGGAUUAGAUACCCUGGUAGUCCACGCCCUAAACGAUGAAUACUAGAUGUUUGGUACCUAGCGUACUGAGUGUCGUAGCUAACGCGAUAAGUAUUCCGCCUGGGAAGUACGGCCGCAAGGUUAAAACUCAAAGGAAUUGACGG